rnacentral:lncRNA from 1 species
AGGCCAACCGCCGAACACCACAGCCGUUAACAGCUUGCUUAAAUCCAACCUACACACAGCUCCACAUGCAUGCCGCUGAUGAGAGGAAACCCCUACCAACUGCCCAAUUGCCUUGUGGUGUCUUAAUAAGCUGCAGUAUAAUUUAAUUAAAGACAAUUAGAUACUGAAGUGCGAUCUUAAAUCAGACACGAGUUGAAUGAGGUUAAGCGCAAACUAAAAGCUGGGAAGAAGGAUUAACCUAUUUAGCAUAAGAAGUCCAUCAGAAUUCAUAAGAAUAAACCAGUGGCUGCAACCAGCAACAGCUAAAUGAGGAGGGAACAUCUGAGAAAAGGAAACAGCAACCAAAAACAACGUAAGGGAAAUGAGUGCAGGAAGAUGCCAGAACAAUUGGAGUGCUUAUGCUUGGAAGGAAAGAGGACUGCACUGAUAGAAGCUCAUAUCCAAAAUCUGAGGAAUUUCAUUCAUCUUCUCAUCACUAAUUAUAAGGAUCAGAAAAAUACAUUUCUCCAUCAUGGCUUGAUCUAGAGAAUAUCUGGACUUCACAAAUAAGGCAGCAAUACCAGUAUGUUGUAACUAAAGUAUUCCUACGUCAAAUGCGUGUUACCAGCAGUGCUUUUUCCAUCUCACAGGAUAUUUUUGUUUAAAAAAAUAAUUUUCAGCACAGAAGUGAUUUCCUUUUUUACACCUCUCUAAAAUCCUAUUUUGCUUCUCAGUCAGCUCUGGAGAAUCAUUUUGAAAUUAAACUUACACAUCUGCA